GCCAGACUCCUACGGGAGGCAGCAGUGGGGAAUAUUGGGCAAUGGGCGCAAGCCUGACCCAGCAACGCCGCGUGAAGGAGGAAGGCUUUCGGGUUGUAAACUUCUUUUAAGAGGGACGAAACAAAUGACGGUACCUCUUGAAUAAGCCACGGCUAACUACGUGCCAGCAGCCGCGGUAAUACGUAGGUGGCAAGCGUUAUCCGGAUUUAUUGGGUGUAAAGGGCGUGUAGGCGGGAAAGCAAGUCAGAUGUGAAAACUAUGGGCUCAACCCAUAGCCUGCAUUUGAAACUGUUUUUCUUGAGUGCUGGAGAGGCAAUCGGAAUUCCGUGUGUAGCGGUGAAAUGCGUAGAUAUACGGAGGAACACCAGUGGCGAAGGCGGAUUGCUGGACGACAACUGACGGUGAGGCGCGAAAGCGUGGGGAGCAAACAGGAUUAGAUACCCCCGUAC
rnacentral:rRNA from 1 species